rnacentral:tRNA from 1 species
GCCGACAUAGCUCAGCUGGCAGAGCAGAGGUUUUGUAAACCUCAGGUCGGGGGUUCGACUCCCUCUGUCGGC